CUGGCUGUCACAGGCCUGCGUUAUGGUAAAGUCUUAACAACCAAAUUCAUGUGUAUUAGCAUGCUAAUCGCAAAUAAUGCUAAUCGCUAAUUAGCCACCAUGCUAGGCGGGCUUUGGCAAGGAGGUUGUACAAGUUACUUCUGUGUCCAGAAUGUAAACUCACAUGGUCCAUGCUGUUUUAAAUUAAAUGCUGAAGGAAUAUGUCACUUUAGAUAGCAUAUUUUACUCUACUUUAGGGAGUAAUAUCUGUUUUUUAUUUAAUAUAUAGUGAGUAAUAGUUUGUACUGUGUAUUAAACCUAGAGCACAGUACUGUUUAUUACCUAACACCUAGCAAGUACGGGAAAGAAAUAUAACACUUGACUACACCUGAGUGGGUCACACACAGGUGGAUAUAGCUUCAGGAGGGGAAAACUUAAGUGUCUCCACCCGCACUGAAGAGACAACCCUAAAAGAUUUCACAUUGCAGUUUAAAGGAUUUGUGGAUUCCUGCCCUGAGCUGAAGAACAAAAUAAAAAAGACUGCAAAGAAAUGAUGAACUCCUCCCACUACAGUGGCGAUGUAGAACAUAAGAACAAAUUUCUCCCUCAGAGUUCCCUGCUGGUCCUGUUAUUGGAGGUGUUGUAGGACUGCUGCUGCUCCUGGCAGUCUGCAUCACUGGAGUCUUCAUCUGGAGAAGUAAAAAUAAUGGAUUCAGGCCUGCAAACUCUUCAGACUCAUCAUCCUCUGAUCCAUCUUCAGUCAAAGAUGCAGCUCUUAACUGAUCACAGAGUAACAACAUCUGGAGAGAACUGAUGCUGCUGUCCAGC